GCUGAAGUAGCUCAGCUGGGAGACUGUUAGACUGAAGAUCUAAAGGUCCCUGGUUCAACCCGGGGCUUCAGCA
rnacentral:tRNA from 1 species